GACGAACCGUGCGAACGUUGUUCGGAUUCACUGGGCUUAAAGGGCGCGUAGGCGGCUCGCCAAGUCGGGGGUGAAAUCUUUCGGCUCAACCGGAAAACAGCUUCCGAUACUGGCGGGCUCGAGUGGGGUAGGGGCGACUGGAACUUCCGGUGGAGCGGUGAAAUGCGUAGAUAUCGGGAAGAACACCCGUGGCGAAGGCGGCUCUCUGGGACGGUACUGACGCUGAGACGCGAAAGCGUGGGGAGCGAACAGG
rnacentral:rRNA from 1 species